UGGGAUGUAUCUCAUAUGGUAGAGUGCUUUCUUCACAUGCGAGAAGCAUGGGGUUAGAUUCCCCGCAUCUCCA
rnacentral:tRNA from 1 species